UUUGUUAAGGCCCAAUACAAAAAAGCCCAAUCAAUUAUAGUCCAUGAGGUUCACACCAAAAUAUCUUAUGUUUCUCACCAUGAUGAUGACACGUAAAGAUUACCACCACCUCCAUGAUCUACCAUAGNUUGGAGAAGAAGGAGAAGAAACCACCCACUACCCAUAAAUUCCUCCACAAGCAAGGCGGUUAUCAAGCAACAAGAGGGAGAUGUUUUGCCUAUAAAUAGGAUCUUCUUCAAGAGAAUAGA
rnacentral:lncRNA from 1 species